UUCCAUACUGAGGGUGUGAGCUGUUGGUGU
rnacentral:piRNA from 1 species